rnacentral:rRNA from 1 species
AGAACGAACGCUGGCGGCAGGCUUAACACAUGCAAGUCGAACGCGUGUAGCAAUACACGAGUGGCGCACGGGUGAGUAACGCGUGGAUAUCUGCCUUUUGGUUCGGAAUAACCCCGGGAAACUGGGGCUAAUACCGGAUGGUUCCUACGGGAUAAAGAUUUAUCGCCAAAAGAUGAGUCCGCGUACGAUUAGCUAGUUGGUGAGGUAAUGGCUCACCAAGGCGACGAUCGUUAGCUGGUCUGAGAGGACGAUCAGCCACACUGGGACUGAGACACGGCCCAGACUCCUACGGGAGGCAGCAGUGGGGAAUAUUGGACAAUGGGGGCAACCCUGAUCCAGCCAUGCCGCGUGAGUGAUGAAGGCCUUCGGGUUGUAAAGCUCUUUUGGCGGGACGAUGAUGACGGUACCGCAGAAUAGCCCCGGCUAACUUCGUGCCAGCAGCCGC